AGAUUGAACGCUGGCGGCAUGCCUUACACAUGCAAGUCGAACGGUAACGCGGGGCAACCUGGCGACGAGUGGCGAACGGGUGAGUAAUAUAUCGGAACGUGCCCAGUAGUGGGGGAUAGCCCGGCGAAAGCCGGAUUAAUACCGCAUACGACCUACGGGUGAAAGCGGGGGAUCGCAAGACCUCGCGCUAUUGGAGCGGCCGAUAUCAGAUUAGGUAGUUGGUGGGGUAAAAGCCUACCAAGCCGACGAUCUGUAGCUGGUCUGAGAGGACGACCAGCCACACUGGGACUGAGACACGGCCCAGACUCCUACGGGAGGCAGCAGUGGGGAAUUUGGACAAUGGGCGCAAGCCUGAUCCAGCCAUGCCGCGUGCGGAAGAGGCCUUCGGGUUGUAACCGCUUUGUCAGGAAGAAUCCUCUGAGUUAAUACCGUCGGGGAUGACGGUACCGUGAAGAAUAAGCACUGACUAACGUACGU
rnacentral:rRNA from 1 species